CACAAACUUCUGAGCUAAUGAGAAGGCUCUAGCAACACAGAGGCCAGGCCUAGUGCUGCUGCCAGGGGAAGGAUAGCAACCACUAGGACAGACAAAUAAAUAUCCAUUCUCAGCUGCCUUCCUGUGAGCAUCACAACCUGCAGCACAAAAGAGAUAAUGGCAGAUCCUUCAGUGGUGGAUCACCUGACACGACUGAAACUCAAACUCCUAGAAAAGAGACUAGAAAAUGAACAGGAGAACCUAGAGAAGAUGGAGUUGUCUCUCCCAGCUGCACGGAGCAGGCCUCAGGACACGCUCCGGAGUGCCCUGAGGCAAAGGAAAGAUCUGCUGCAGGAGCUUAGGGAGCAGCGCCUUCUGGAAGAGCUUUCACAGCCACCUGCACCAGCUGGAGGACACUGCCAUGACCACAGAGCUGCCCUCCCACAGGUCUACGAGAUCCCUUUUCCAGCUUCCCAAGCGGAGCCACCAAGGAUUAUCCAGCAGACAAUGCCAGCUCAGCCUGCCACCAUCAUCCAGCAGUUGCCUCAGCCAUCCCCUGUGAUCACACAGAUUCCCCCAGCCCCGACCUUUGCAGCCCCCCGCUCUGGGAGCAUUAAGGAAGACAUGGUAGAGAUGAUGCUGAUGCAGAAUGCUCAGAUGCACCAGGUCAUGAUGCAGAACAUGAUGCUGAAGGCUCUGCCCCCGACGGCGCUGGCACAGCUCGGAGGAGGCAGCUCUGCCCUGCUGCAGCACCCACAGCAGGACUUUCAGCCUGCUGCUCCCCUGGCCCUGAAGGCAGACAGGCCCAGGCCUCCUGUGGUGCACCACCACCACCAUUACCCUCCCCCAGGGGUGUUCCCAGUGCCCCCCAGCAGCCUCCUGCCCACGGCCGCGGCGCAGCACUGGGACGGCAGCUCUGCCCAGCCCGGGUAAGUCAGCAGGCAGCUGGGACCUGCCCUUGCAGCCCUUCCUCCCUGCCCAGGUGGGGAGGGUGUGGAAUGGACACGGGGAUCUGGCAGAGAUGAGCAUCACACAGAUCCCCACCCUGCCGUGCUGCACUGCUCUGCCUUGCAGGGGCUCACCCCACCUCUGGUCUCCCUGCACACCCAGCAGCAUCUGCUAAAUAAGGUGGGGAGAUGGGGAAGAGUUUUACAUGCAGGCUAAGGUUCCCAGCAGGAUUCAUGUUCUCAGAGCACUGCUGGGGCAUUGGCUAAUCAGAAAUUCCUGGGGAAAUAAAACCCCAAACGACCAGCUAAGAAAAAUGGUACAAUGGGAGGGGAGUAUCAGAAAUAAUGCUGAGCCUUUGCCAUAAGCUUGCAGAUGAGGGGGGUGGGUUUUGAGUGUAAAAAUAGAUUAACUUCUCCCCAGGAUGCUCCCAGAUCCACAGAGCCCCUGUGCCCUGUGCAGAGAUCACAGCCAGCCCCUCCAGGGCUCACGUGCCUUGUGCCUUCCUCUGAGCCUGUCCUGCUUGGCUUCCUAGGUGCUAGGAACUUCUUACAUGCCAAGGCUGGCCAAGAAAUGCACCUUGCUGGAGCAUAGAAGGGGGGGUGACAUGGGGACACACUGUGAGAACUCAGCUUUAUUUCUGUGCCAUGGCUCUUUGAGAGCCUUAGUGAACAGAACAGGAUGGAGGCAGCUGCAGCCUUGGGCACGGGUGACCUGCUGGCAGGGAUAUCUGUACAGCCCUCUUUAGCAGAGGAUUUGAAUUCCUGAACAGAUUAUUUAGCUAAUGGGAUUACAAGGGAUGAACAUUUCUACCUAUUUCCCCUUGACACGGGUUUGUAAUCUGAACCAGUAAAGAACUCCUGGCUGCUGUCAGGAUCAGUGCAAUUCACUGUUUGCAGAAAUCAGUAGCUCUUGCCAUGGCCUUUGAAUUAUGUUCUUCCUCUUCCUCAGCUGCCUUCCACCACAAGGUGGCCCAUGUACUGAUAGUACAGGAUCCUCUGCAAGUGGACCAUAGCCUUUCUAAAAACAAUAAAAUCCUGAUGUUCUUCCUCA